GAUGAACGCUGGCGGCGUGCCUAAUACAUGCAAGUCGAGCGAACAGACGAGGAGCUUGCUCCUCUGACGUUAGCGGCGGACGGGUGAGUAACACGUGGAUAACCUACCUAUAAGACUGGGAUAACUUCGGGAAACCGGAGCUAAUACCGGAUAAUAUAUUGAGCCGCAUGGUUCAAUAGUGAAAGACGGUUUUGCUGUCACUUAUAGAUGGAUCCGCGCCGCAUUAGCUAGUUGGUAAGGUAACGGCUUACCAAGGCAACGAUGCGUAGCCGACCUGAGAGGGUGAUCGGCCACACUGGAACUGAGACACGGUCCAGGCUCCUACGGGAGGCAGCAGUAGGGAAUCUUCCGCAAUGGGCGAAAGCCUGACGGAGCAACGCCGCGUGAGUGAUGAAGGUCUUCGGAUCGUAAAACUCUGUUAUUAGGGAAGAACAAAUGUGUAAGUAACUAUGCACGUCUUGACGGUACCUAAUCAGAAAGCCACGGCUAACUACGUG
rnacentral:rRNA from 1 species